rnacentral:rRNA from 1 species
AUUGAACGCUGGCGGCAGGCCUAACACAUGCAAGUCGAGCGGAUGAAGGGAGCUUGCUCCUGGAUUCAGCGGCGGACGGGUGAGUAAUGCCUAGGAAUCUGCCUGGUAGUGGGGGAUAACGUCUGGAAACGGGCGCUAAUACCGCAUACGUCCUGAGGGAGAAAGUGGGGGAUCUUCGGACCUCACGCUAUCAGAUGAGCCUAGGUCGGAUUAGCUAGUUGGUGGGGUAAAGGCCUACCAAGGCGACGAUCCGUAACUGGUCUGAGAGGAUGAUCAGUCACACUGGAACUGAGACACGGUCCAGACUCCUACGGGAGGCAGCAGUGGGGAAUAUUGGACAAUGGGCGAAAGCCUGAUCCAGCCAUGCCGCGUGUGUGAAGAAGGUCUUCGGAUUGUAAAGCACUUUAAGUUGGGAGGAAGGGCAGUAAGUUAAUACCUUGCUGUUUUGACGGUACCAACAGAAUAAGCACCGGCUAACUUCGUG